GCCCCCGUAGUUCAAGGGAUAGAACAAAAGUUUCCUAAACUUUAGAUUCAGGUUCGAAUCCUGGCGGGGGCA
rnacentral:tRNA from 1 species